AUUGAACGCUGGCGGAAUGCUUUACACAUGCAAGUCGAGCGGCAGCGCGGCCUUCGGGCUGGCGGCGAGCGGCGAACGGGUGAGUAAUGCAUCGGAACAUGCCCAGUCGUGGGGGAUAACACUUCGAAAGAAGUGCUAAUACCGCAUACGUCCUGAGGGGGAAAGCGGGGGAUCGCAAGACCUCGCGCGAUUGGAGUGGCCGAUGUCAGAUUAGCUAGUUGGUGGGGUAAAGGCCUACCAAGGCGACGAUCUGUAGCUGGUCUGAGAGGAUGAUCAGCCACACAGGGACUGAGACACGGCCCAGACUCCUACGGGAGGCAGCAGUGGGGAAUUUUGGACAAUGGGGGCAACCCUGAUCCAGCCAUUCCGCGUGAGUGAAGAAGGCCUUCGGGUUGUAAAGCUCUUUCGGCAGGAACGAAACGGUGGGCUCUAACAUAGUCCGCUAAUGACGGUACCUGAAGAAGAAGCACCGGCUAACUACGUG
rnacentral:rRNA from 1 species